GACGAACGCUGGCGGCGUGCCUAAUACAUGCAAGUAGAACGCACAGUUUAUACCGUAGCUUGCUCCACCAUAAACUGUGAGUUGCGAACGGGUGAGUAACGCGUAGGUAACCUGCCUGGUAGCGGGGGAUAACUAUUGGAAACGAUAGCUAAUACCGCAUAAUAUUGAUUAUUGCAUGAUAAUUGAUUGAAAGAUGCUAUUGCAUCACUACCAGAUGGACCUGCGUUGUAUUAGCUAGUAGGUGAGGUAACGGCUCACCUAGGCGACGAUACAUAGCCGACCUGCGAGGGUGAUCGGCCACACUGGGACUGAGACACGGCCCAGACUCCUACGGGAGGCAGCAGUAGGGAAUCUUCGGCAAUGGACGAAAGUCUGACCGAGCAACGCCGCGUGAGUGAAGAAGGGUGUCGGAUCGUAAAGCUCUGUUGUAAGAGAAGAACGGGUGUGAGAGUGGAAAGUUCACACUGUGACGGUAUCUUACCAGAAAGGGACGGCUAACUACGUG
rnacentral:rRNA from 1 species